GGCAUGCCUUAGUACGGCGAGUGAAGCGGCAAAAGCUCAAAUUUGAAAUCUGGUACCUUCGGUGCCCGAGUUGUAAUUUGGAGAGGGCAACUUUGGGGCCGUUCCUUGUCUAUGUUCCUUGGAACAGGACGUCAUAGAGGGUGAGAAUCCCGUGUGGCGAGGAGUGCGGUUCUUUGUAAAGUGCCUUCGAAGAGUCGAGUUGUUUGGGAAUGCAGCUCUAAGUGGGUGGUAAAUUCCAUCUAAAGCUAAAUAUUGGCGAGAGACCGAUAGCGAACAAGUACAGUGAUGGAAAGAUGAAAAGAACUUUGAAAAGAGAGUGAAAAAGUACGUGAAAUUGUUGAAAGGGAAGGGCAUUUGAUCACACAUGGUGUUUUGUGCCCUCUGCUCCUUGUGGGUAGGGGAAUCUCGCAUUUCACUGGGCCAGCAUCAGUUUUGGUGGCAGGAUAAAUCCAUAGGAAUGUAGCUUGCCUCGGUAAGUAUUAUAGCCUGUGGGAAUACUGCCAGCUGGGACUGAGGACUGCGACGUAAGUCAAGGAUGCUGGCAUAAUGGUUAUAUGCCGCCC
rnacentral:rRNA from 1 species